GGCAAUGACGCAGCUAGUGAGGUACUAACCGAGGCGCGUCUAUUGCUGGUUGAAAACUAUUUCCAAACCCCCUCUUCGGCUUGGGUUCGCCUAUGGCCGUCGAGAAUUUCUGGAAGGGCUCCCUUAAUAAGGGUAAAGCCCUACAAUUCUUAUGGGCGGCUAUUUUAUGUCAAUCUCUUUGUUAUGUCUCUAUCAAAUUUGAUAGUGAUGAUUGUUAAACUUAAUCGGAUUGUGGGAAUAGAAAAUAUUUAACGAAUUUUUGUCUCUUUGUUAUGUCUAUCAAAUUUGAUAGUGAUGAUUGUUAAACUUAAUCGGAUUGUGGGAAUAGAAAAUAUUUAACGAA